GAACGAGAAAGUUCUUCGGAACGAGUAUAGUGGCGAACGGGUGAGUAACGCGUAAGUAUUUACCCUUUAGUGAAGAAUACCCUCGAGAAAUCGAGGUUAAUACUGCAUACGUCCCUUCGGGGAGAAAGGUGGCCUCUUGCUACCGCUAAAGGAUGAGCUUGCGUACUAUUAGCUUGUUGGUGAGGUAAAGGCUCACCAAGGCUAUGAUGGUUAGCCGGCCUGAGAGGGUGACCGGCCACAUUGGGACUGAGAUACGGCCCAGACUCCUACGGGAGGCAGCAGUGGGGAAUCUUGCACAAUGGGCGAAAGCCUGAUGCAGCGACGCCGCGUGGAGGAUGACGGUCUUCGGAUUGUAAACUCCUGUUAAGAGGGAAGAAAGGCGCGUGGUUAAUAUCCGCGCGAGAUGACGGUACCUCUAGAGAAAGCUCCGGCUAACUUCGUGCCAGCAGCCGCGGUAAUACGAAGGGAGCGAGCGUUAUUCGGAAUUACUGGGCGUAAAGUGCGCGUAGGCGGCCUGUUAAGUCAGUUGUUAAAGACCAUGGCUUACCCAUGGAAAAGCAGUUGAUACUGGCGGGCUGAGAGGGCAAGAGAGAGAAGUGGAAUUCUCGGAGUAGCGGUAAAAUGCGUAGAUCUCGAGAGGAACACCGAUGGCGAAGGCAGCUUCUUGGCUUGUACCUGACGCUGAGGCGCGAAAGCGUGGGGAGCAAACAGGAUUAGAUACCCUGGUAGUCCACGCCGUAAACGAUGAUCACUAGAUGUUGGGUUUCGCAUAGCGAGAUCAGUGUCAAAGCUAACGCGUUAAGUGAUCCGCC
rnacentral:rRNA from 1 species